GACGAACGCUGGCGGCGUGCUUAACACAUGCAAGUCGAACGGAAAGGCCCUGCGUUUGUGGGGUUCUCGAGUGGCGAACGGGGGAGUAACACGUGAGUAACCUGCCCUUAACUUUGUGAGAACUUCAGGAAACUGGGGCGAAUACCGGGUAUGAGCUCCUGCUGCAUGGGGGUGGUUGGAAAAUGUCGGCCGUUGGGGAUGGACUCGCGGCUUAUCAGCUUGUUUGUGGGGUAGUUGCUUACCAAGGCUUUGACGGGUAGCCGGCCUGAGAGGGUGAACGGCCACAUGGGGACUGCGAUAGGGCCCAGACUCCUACGGGAGGCAGUAGUGGGGAAUCUUGCACAAUGGGCGGAAGCCUGAUGUAGCAACGCCGGGUGCGGGAUGACGGCCUUCGGGUUGUAAACAGAUUUCGCCUGUGACGAAGCGUGAGUGACGGUAAUGGGUAAAGAAGCACCGGCUAACUACGUG
rnacentral:rRNA from 1 species